AGAGUUUGAUCAUGGCUCAGGACGAACGCUGGCGGCGUGCUUAACACAUGCAAGUCGAGCGGAAAGGCCCUUCGGGGUACUCGAGCGGCGAACGGGUGAGUAACACGUGAGGAACCUGCCCUGGACUUUGGGAUAACCCUCGGAAACGGGGGCUAAUACCGAAUACGACACUUCACCGCAUGGUGUGGGUGUGGAAAGUUUUUCGGUCUGGGAUGGUCUCGCGGCCUAUCAGCUUGUUGGUGGGGUAAUGGCCUACCAAGGCGACGACGGGUAGCCGGCCUGAGAGGGCGACCGGCCACACUGGGACUGAGACACGGCCCAGACUCCUACGGGAGGCAGCAGUGGGGAAUAUUGCACAAUGGGCGGAAGCCUGAUGCAGCGACGCCGCGUGAGGGAUGACGGCCUUCGGGUUGUAAACCUCUUUCAGCAGGGACGAAGCGCAAGUGACGGUACCUGCAGAAGAAGCGCCGGCCAACUACGUGCCAGCAGCCGCGGUAAGACGUAGGGCGCGAGCGUUGUCCGGAUUUAUUGGGCGUAAAGAGCUCGUAGGCGGCUUGUCGCGUCGACUGUGAAAACCCGCGGCUCAACUGCGGGCCUGCAGCCGAUACGGGCAGGCUAGAGUUCGGUAGGGGAGACUGGAAUUCCUGGUGUAGCGGUGAAAUGCGCAGAUAUCAGGAGGAACACCGGUGGCGAAGGCGGGUCUCUGGGCCGAUACUGACGCUGAGGAGCGAAAGCGUGGGGAGCGAACAGGAUUAGAUACCCUAGUAGUCC
rnacentral:rRNA from 1 species